GACACGCUGGCGGCAUGCCUAAUACAUGCAAGUCGAACGGAGAUAGCAAUAUCUUAGUGGCGAACGGGUGCGUAACACGUGAGCAACCUGCCUUAUACAUCGGAAUAACAGCUGGAAACGGCUGCUAAUACCGGAUAAGACCACACCAAGGCAUCUUGGAGAGGUCAAAGCGAAUUAGCGGUAUAAGAUGGGCUCGCGUCCAAUUAGCUAGUUGGUGGGGUAACGGCCCACCAAGGCAACGAUUGGUAGCCGACUUGAGAGAGUGAUCGGCCACACUGGAACUGAGACACGGUCCAGACUCCUACGGGAGGCAGCAGUAGGGAAUAUUGGGCAAUGGAGGAAACUCCUUACCCAGCAAUGCCGCGUGAAUGAUGAAGGUCUUAUGGAUUGUAAAGUUCUUUAAUUGGGGACGAAAGAAAUGACGGUACCCAAAGAAUAAGCCCCGGCUAACUAUGUGCCAGCCGCAGC
rnacentral:rRNA from 1 species